rnacentral:lncRNA from 1 species
AGAGCUUCUUUAGUGAACAAAAGGAUCGGAUACCAUUUCAAUACUAAUAUAUAGACAUCUAUGACUAUCAUAACUCUUAGCUAUAUGGUCACUGUAUUUUGAAGUACAUAUGAGUGUUUGAAUGGACGAUAGAGGAGGACGAGUUGUACGUACGAUACUAACGUUCAUGAGGGGGUUUCAGUGGAAAAAAAAAAAAAAAUGCUGGUCCACCUUCAGCUAUAUAUCAACUAUACAUGUUAAUGCAUAACACCGAGUAAAGUCUCCAAUUAAAAAUAAAUCUGAUUCAACAACUUGAAUGUUAGAAGGUAGAACACAAUAGUCAAACAAUUUAGGUUUAACAUAUGAUUUUAAAUUGGUUAAAAAAUUGUGUAACUUAAUACAGAAUACACAGUUUUAUUCUACCCCCAGUAAUCUAUAAUAUUCUGAACAAGUAUUGGUUCUAAACAACUCAAAAUUUGAUGACAAAAAAAAAAAAAAAAGACAACUCAAAAUUUUAGAUUCGUAUCCAAACUAUAAGCAGUUAAAGCAGAGUCAUGAUAUAAGCUGUGAGCAUUUCAAGUUGUCAAAGGAUUUAUUCUAGUUUAUACAUAUUCAAACUCUUUCC